UACGUAGGGUGCAAGCGUUAAUCGGAAUUACUGGGCGUAAAGCGUGCGCAGGCGGUUGUGCAAGACCGAUGUGAAAUCCCCGGGCUUAACCUGGGAAUGGCAUUGGUGACUGUACGGCUAGAGUGUGUCAGAGGGGGGUAGAAUUCCACGUGUAGCAGUGAAAUGCGUAGAGAUGUGGAGGAACACCGAUGGCGAAGGCAGCCCCCUGGGUCAAGAUUGACGCUCAUGCACGAAAGCGUGGGGAGCAAACAGG
rnacentral:rRNA from 1 species